rnacentral:rRNA from 1 species
UACGUAGGUGGCAAGCGUUGUCCGGAUUUAUUGGGUUUAAAGGGCGCGUAGGCGGCCUUCUAAGUCAGACGUGAAAUCCCCCGGCUUAACCUGGGAACUGCGUUUGAAACUGGGAGACUUGAGUGUGGCAGAGGGGGGUGGAAUUCCACGUGUAGCAGUGAAAUGCGUAGAUAUGUGGAGGAACACCGAUGGCGAAGGCAGCCCCCUGGGUUAACACUGACGCUCAUGCACGAAAGCGUGGGGAGCAAACAGG